rnacentral:rRNA from 1 species
UAGAGACCGGCGCACGGGUGCGUAACGCGUAUGCAAUCUACCUUUUACAGAGGGAUAGCCCAGAGAAAUUUGGAUUAAUACCUCAUAGUAUUAUGAAAUGGCAUCAUUUUAUAAUUAAAGUCACAACGGUAAAAGAUGAGCAUGCGUCCCAUUAGCUAGUUGGUAAGGUAACGGCUUACCAAGGCUACGAUGGGUAGGGGUCCUGAGAGGGAGAUCCCCCACACUGGUACUGAGACACGGACCAGACUCCUACGGGAGGCAGCAGUGAGGAAUAUUGGACAAUGGGCGCAAGCCUGAUCCAGCCAUGCCGCGUGCAGGAUGACGGUCCUAUGGAUUGUAAACUGCUUUUAUACAGGAAGAAACACUGGUUCGUGAACCAGCUUGACGGUACUGUAAGAAUAAGGAUCGGCUAACUCCGUGCCAGCAGCCGCGGUAAUACGGAGGAUCCAAGCGUUAUCCGGAAUCAUUGGGUUUAAAGGGUCCGUAGGCGGUUUAAUAAGUCAGUGGUGAAAGCCCAUCGCUCAACGGUGGAACGGCCAUUGAUACUGUUAAACUUGAAUUAUUAGGAAGUAACUAGAAUAUGUAGUGUAGCGGUGAAAUGCUUAGAGAUUACAUGGAAUACCAAUUGCGAAGGCAGGUUACUACUAAUGGAUUGACGCUGAUGGACG